rnacentral:rRNA from 1 species
CAGCCGCCGCGGGAAUACGUAGGGUGCGAGCGUUAAUCGGAAUUACUGGGCGUAAAGCGUGCGCAGGCGGUUCUAUAAGACAGAUGUGAAAUCCCCGGGCUCAACCUGGGAACUGCAUUUGUGACUGUAGAGCUGGAGUGCGGCAGAGGGGGAUGGAAUUCCGCGUGUAGCAGUGAAAUGCGUAGAUAUGCGGAGGAACACCGAUGGCGAAGGCAAUCCCCUGGGCCUGCACUGACGCUCAUGCACGAAAGCGUGGGGAGCAAACAGGAUUAGAUACCCCAGUAGUCCCUGUCUCUUAUAC